GCAUCAAUGGGGUAGUGGUAACCUGGGUCGUUGCCAUAGGUCGUGCCGCACAUUUGUGAUUUCGACCCGCCGGGGGUUCGAUUCCCUCUUGAUGCA